CAGCCGCCGCGGUAAUACGUAGGUGGCAAGCGUUGUCCGGAAUUAUUGGGCGUAAAGGGCUCGCAGGCGGUUUCUUAAGUCUGAUGUGAAAGCCCCCGGCUCAACCGGGGAGGGUCAUUGGAAACUGGUUGACUUGAGUGCAGAAGAGGAGAGUGGAAUUCCAUGUGUAGCGGUGAAAUGCGUAGAUAUAUGGAGGAACACCAGUGGCGAAGGCGACUCUCUGGUCUGUAACUGACGCUGAGGCUCGAAAGCGUGGGUAGCAAACAGGAUUAGAUACCCGAGUAGUCCCUGUCUCUUAUAC
rnacentral:rRNA from 1 species